ensembl:misc_RNA Metazoa_SRP Metazoan signal recognition particle RNA
GCUGGGCACAGUGGCACGUGCCUGUAGUCCCAGCUACUCAGGAGGCCGAGGCUAGAGGAUCACUUAGUCCAGGAGUUCUGGGCUGUAGUGCGCUAUGCCAACCGGGUGUCCGCACUAAGUUCGGCAUCAAUACGGCGAACUCCCAGGAGCAAGGGACCACCAGACUGCCUAAGGAGGGGUGAACCAGCCCAGGUCGGAAAUGGAGCAGGUCAAAACUCCGUGCUGAUCAGUAGUGGGAUUGUGUCUGUGAAUAGCCACUGCACUCCAGCCUGGGCAAUAUAGCAAGACCCCAUCACUA